AUUGAACGCUGGCGGCAGGCCUAACACAUGCAAGUCGAACGAGUGGCGGACGGGUGAGUAAUGUCUGGGAAACUGCCCGAUGGAGGGGGAUAACUACUGGAAACGGUAGCUAAUACCACAUACCAUCGGAUAUUCACAGAAGUGAUUCGCUCGUAGGUGGGGUAACGGCUCACCUAGGAGACGAUCCCUAGCUGGUCUGAGAGGAUGACCAGCCACACUGGAACUGAGACACGGUCCAGACUCCGACGGGAGGCAGCAGUGGGGAAUAUGGCACAAUGGGCGCAAGCCUGAUGCAGCCAUGCCGCGUGUAUGAAGAAGGCCUUAGGGUUGUAAAGUACUUUCAGCGGGGAGGCGUUACCCGCAGAAGAAGCACCGGCUAACUCCGUGCCAGCAGCCGCGGUAAUAC
rnacentral:rRNA from 1 species